UACGAAGGGGGCGAGCGUUGUUCGGAUUUACUGGGCGUAAAGGGCGCGCAGGCGGCUCAUCAAGUCAGACGUGAAAGCCCCGGGCUUAACCUGGGAGGUGCGUUUGGGACUGGUGGGCUAGAGUUCGGGAGAGGAGAGUGGAAUUCCCAGUGUAGAGGUGAAAUUCGUAGAUAUUGGGAAGAACACCGGUGGCGAAGGCGGCUCUCUGGACCGAGACUGACGCUGAGGCGCGAAAGCUAGGGGAGCAAACAGG
rnacentral:rRNA from 1 species